rnacentral:rRNA from 29 species
AGUCAUAUGCUUGUCUCAAAGAUUAAGCCAUGCAUGUCUCAGUACAAGCCAAAUUAAGGUGAAACCGCGAAAGGCUCAUUAAAUCAGUUAUGGUUCCUUAGAUCGUACCCACAUUUACUUGGAUAACUGUGGUAAUUCUAGAGCUAAUACAUGCCAACAGAACUCCGACCGGAGACGGAAGGAGUGCCUUUAUUAGAUCAAAACCAAUCGGUGGCGCGGCCUCGGUCGUGUCAUCGUACAACAUGGUGAAUCUGAAUAACGUUUGCUGAUCGCACGGUCUCGCACCGGCGACGCAUCUUUCAAAUGUCUGCCUUAUCAACUGUCGAUGGUAGGUUCUGCGCCUACCAUGGUUGUAACGGGUAACGGGGAAUCAGGGUUCGAUUCCGGAGAGGGAGCCUGAGAAACGGCUACCACAUCCAAGGAAGGCAGCAGGCGCGCAAAUUACCCACUCCCGGCACGGGGAGGUAGUGACGAAAAAUAACGAUACGGGACUCAUCCGAGGCCCCGUAAUCGGAAUGAGCACACUUUAAAUCCUUUCACGAGGAUCAAUCGGAGGGCAAGUCAGGUGCCAGCAGCCGCGGUAAUUCCUGCUCCGAUAGCGUAU